rnacentral:tRNA from 1 species
GGACAGCUCAGUGGUAGAGCGCAUGCUUAGCAUGCACAAGGUCCUGGGUUCAAUCCCCAGCACUUCCA